rnacentral:lncRNA from 1 species
CUUAACUCAAAAACACUCUGUAACUGAGAACUGUUUCUUCCAUUUAUCAUCUAUUAGAAAGGGAGGUAUCUUGUUUUCCCCUUUCUUCCUCUUUUGUUUUCUGUUUUUGCAUUUGCUUCUCUGGUUGUUGCACAUAAAAUUAUUGUCUAACAGGUGUAUCUACAUCUUUCUCUCUGGUCUGUUCCAACACUCCAUUUUUUUUCCCCCUGCUGUCUCUAUCUUUUCCCUGUAUUUCUGCCUACUUGUGCUCUGGGGCUUUCACUGUAUGUGUGUGAAGAUCAGCGAGAACUUUCCUUCCCACAGACCAGUGUGGAAAUGAUAGGGAAUUCUGAGGAUGAGAAUUUCAUGGAUGGAC